rnacentral:tRNA from 1 species
AGGUGAUUAGCUCAGCAGGCAGAGCAUCUCUUUUACAAGGAGAAGGUCGACGGUUCAAAUCCGUCAUUACCUA